CAAAGCUGAAGUAGCUCUGAUGUAGCCUGAUCUUUGAUGAUUGGUGUGGAGAACUCGUGUGGUUGUAUGACCUCAUGGAUUAGCAUGCCCAGGUGUUUUG